CUCUUACCACAUGACUGGGCUCCACGUGCUACAUGGGCAGAACAAAGGGCAGCGAAGCCGCGAGGCUAAGCCAAUCCCACAAAUCUGUUCUCAGUUCGGAUCGCAGUCUGCAACUCGACUGCGUGAAGCUGGAAUCGCUAGUAAUCGCGGAUCAGCAUGCCGCGGUGAAUACGUUCCCGGGCCUUGUACACACCGCCCGUCACACCACGAGAGUUUGUAACACCCGAAGUCGGUGAGGUAACCUUUUGGAGCCAGCCGCCGAAGGUGGGACAGAUGAUUGGGGUGAAGUCGUAACAAGGUAACCA
rnacentral:rRNA from 1 species